AAGUCGUAACAAGGUUUCCGUAGGUGAACCUGCGGAAGGAUCAUUAUCACGUAUCCACGUACAAACCACUGCGAACUGUUCUCCCUUUUGGAGGUGUGGGUUUGGCUUGACCAUAGUCUCUUCUCUGUCGUGAUGGAGGAGCGGUCUCUGCCGUGAGCUCGAAAGGGUUCCGCCUGUAUCUUCAAGAGUGGUUAUUUAUCACGCAACCCUUAAACUUAUUAACCCCUUUAACCUUUAUGAACUGAAAUUAAGCUUGAUGUAAAGAGUCGCGCUUCGGCGUGUACUUUUGAUCAAGUCUUUUAUUACGAAACUAAGAACAAUUCUUAACAACGGAUAUCUUGGCUCUGAUAACGAUGAAGAACGCAGC
rnacentral:misc_RNA from 1 species